GACAGAGGUGCCAAGCGCUAGGCGGAAUCACUGGGCUUAAAGCGUGUGUAGGUGGAUGCCUAAGUGCCUUGUGAAAUCCCACGGCUCAACCGUGGAAUUGCUGGGCAUACUGGGUGUCUUGAGCCAUCCAGGGGUCGCUGGAACAAACGGUGGAGCGGUGAAAUGCGUAGAUAUCGUUUGGAACGCCAAUGGUGAAAACAGGCGACUGGGGAUGAGCUGACACUGAGACACGAAAGCCAGGGGAGCAAACGGG
rnacentral:rRNA from 1 species